ACGUAGGUGGCAAGCGUUAUCCGGAAUUAUUGGGCGUAAAGCGCGCGCAGGUGGUUUCUUAAGUCUGAUGUGAAAGCCCACGGCUCAACCGUGGAGGGUCAUUGGAAACUGGGAGACUUGAGUGCAGAAGAGGAAAGUGGAAUUCCAUGUGUAGCGGUGAAAUGCGUAGAGAUAUGGAGGAACACCAGUGGCGAAGGCGACUUUCUGGUCUGUAACUGACACUGAGGCGCGAAAGCGUGGGGAGCAAACAGG
rnacentral:rRNA from 1 species